rnacentral:rRNA from 1 species
GAUGAACGCUGGCGGCGUGCCUAAUACAUGCAAGUCGAGCGAACAGACGAGGAGCUUGCUCCUCUGACGUUAGCGGCGGACGGGUGAGUAACACGUGGAUAACCUACCUAUAAGACUGGGAUAACUUCGGGAAACCGGAGCUAAUACCGGAUAAUAUAUUGAACCGCAUGGUUCAAUAGUGAAAGACGGUUUUGCUGUCACUUAUAGAUGGAUCCGCGCCGCAUUAGCUAGUUGGUAAGGUAACGGCUUACCAAGGCGACGAUGCGUAGCCGACCUGAGAGGGUGAUCGGCCACACUGGAACUGAGACACGGUCCAGACUCCUACGGGAGGCAGCAGUAGGGAAUCUUCCGCAAUGGGCGAAAGCCUGACGGAGCAACGCCGCGUGAGUGAUGAAGGUCUUCGGAUCGUAAAACUCUGUUAUUAGGUAAGAACAAAUGUGUAAGUAACUAUGCACGUCUUGACGGUACCUAAUCAGAAAGCCACGGCUAACUACGUG